rnacentral:rRNA from 1 species
AGAGUUUGAUCCUGGCUCAGAUUGAACGCUGGCGGCAUGCCUUACACAUGCAAGUCGAACGGCAGCGCGGGAGCAAUCCUGGCGGCGAGUGGCGAACGGGUGAGUAAUACAUCGGAACGUGUCCAGUAGUGGGGGAUAGCCCGGCGAAAGCCGGAUUAAUACCGCAUACGAUCUUAGGAUGAAAGCGGGGGAUCGCAAGACCUCGCGCUAUUGGGGCGGCCGAUGGCAGAUUAGCUAGUUGGUGGGGUAAAGGCCUACCAAGGCGACGAUCUGUAGCUGGUCUGAGAGGACGACCAGCCACACUGGGACUGAGACACGGCCCAGACUCCUACGGGAGGCAGCAGUGGGGAAUUUUGGACAAUGGGCGCAAGCCUGAUCCAGCAAUGCCGCGUGUGUGAAGAAGGCCUUCGGGUUGUAAAGCACUUUUGUCCGGAAAGAAAACCUUUGGGCUAAUACCUCGAGGGGAUGACGGUACCGGAAGAAUAAGCACCGGCUAACUACGUGCCAGCAGCCGCGGUAAUACGUAGGGUGCGAGCGUUAAUCGGAAUUACUGGGCGUAAAGCGUGCGCAGGCGGUUCGCUAAGACCGAUGUGAAAUCCCCCGGGCUUAACCUGGGAACUGCAUUGGUGACUGGCGGGCUAGAGUGUGGCAGAGGGGGGUAGAAUUCCACGUGUAGCAGUGAAAUGCGUAGAGAUGUGGAGGAAUACCGAUGGCGAAGGCAGCCCCCUGGGCCAACACUGACGCUCAUGCACGAAAGCGUGGGGAGCAAACAGGAUUAGAUACCCCCGUAGUCC